GCAGAUCCAAGGCCAACUCCCCGGAGUGAGAUUAGAGACACCAGGACCUCUCAAAUCCUGUUCUGAUGGCACCUGGAUCUGAAGGGAGUUGGAGUCGGAAUUAUCUGUUGAAGAAGAUGCCCCAUCAGAGGAAGUCUACCGUAUAACUGGUAACAGGAAAAUGAGUCUGUGGUUUGGAGCACCACCAGUGGUCUUUUUGAAGACAGGACUUGGGGAAUUCUGUCUUUGGUAAUGGACCCAUUGUCUGAGUUGAAGUGUGCAAAUCAAGGGAAGGCUCAAUCUCCUGGGACGUUUCCAACACUAGAAAGGA